ACGGGGGGAGCAAGCGUUGUUCGGAUUUACUGGGCGUAAAGGGCGGGUAGGCGGCCACUGCAAGUCGGUUGUGAAAUCUCCGGGCUUAACUCGGAAGGGUCAAUCGAUACUGCAGGGCUAGAGUGCAGAAGGGGCAACUGGAAUUCUCGGUGUAGCGGUGAAAUGCGUAGAUAUUGGGAGGAACACCAGUGGCGAAGGCGGCUCACUGGACCGGUUCUGACGCUGAUGCGCGAAAGCGUGGGGAGCAAACGGGA
rnacentral:rRNA from 1 species